rnacentral:rRNA from 1 species
UACAGAGGUCCCAAGCGUUGUUCGGAUUCAUUGGGCGUAAAGGGUGCGUAGGUGGCGGGGUAAGUUGGAUGUGAAAUCCCGGGGCUCAACCCCGGAACUGCAUUGGAUACUGCCUUGCUAGAGUACUGGAGAGGAGAUUGGAAUUUACGGUGUAGCAGUGAAAUGCGUAGAGAUCGUAAGGAAGACCGGUGGCGAAGGCGGAUCUCUGGGCAGUUACUGACACUGAGGCACGAAGGCCAGGGGAGCAAACGGG